ACGCUCGACACCUACGGAGGCAGCAGUGGGGAAUAUUGCACAAUGGGGGAAACCCUGAUGCAGCGACGCCGCGUGAAGGAAGAAGUAUUUCGGUAUGUAAACUUCUAUCAGCAGGGAAGAAAAUGACGGUACCUGACUAAGAAGCCCCGGCUAACUACGUGCCAGCAGCUGCGGUAAUCUGAGCGGGCUGGCAAGGC
rnacentral:rRNA from 1 species